AUGAAGGAAGCAGCAGGUUGCCUAUGAGGGCAUGCCUGGAAGCAGAUGUGGCCUCACCCCUUCAAAGGCUAGCAUGGAGUAGAGAGCUGGAUAAGGCCUUACCUCCUGCUCUGUUUCCAUUGCCGCACCUGCAGGGUGAUUAAGAGGACCAAAUGAGUUAAAGCAGUGUCUGGCCCAGGACAACCAAGAAUAGAGUUGUUGUUGCUAUUAUUUGGUAAGCACCUGUAUGCCUGGCUCUCGACAGACUGGCUCUUGCCAGUUUUCAAAAAUCCAUGGCUGAUCAGCUAAAACCUUAGAGUAGCACAAGA